AGUCGCUCAUUCACCUUGAUAUGACAGCGUCACACGCUAGGCAAUACGACCGCUCCAUAUCUGCCGAAUGAUGCCAAUGUAUGGUGCCUACUGUCCAACGUAACCGUUAAUCGCUGCCUUGGCGGCGAUUAACAAUCACAGGGCGACACGUUGAGUGAGGCACCUCCUA
rnacentral:sRNA from 16 species